rnacentral:rRNA from 1 species
UACGAAGGGGGCUAGCGUUGCUCGGAAUCACUGGGCGUAAAGGGUGCGUAGGCGGGUCUUUAAGUCAGGGGUGAAAUCCUGGAGCUCAACUCCAGAACUGCCUUUGAUACUGAAGAACUUGAGUUCGGGAGAGGUGAGUGGAACUGCGAGUGUAGAGGUGAAAUUCGUAGAUAUUCGCAAGAACACCAGUGGCGAAGGCGGCUCACUGGCCCGAUACUGACGCUCAUGCACGAAAGCGUGGGGAGCAAACAGG